CACUCUAACUACUUUGGAAAACAAUUUGGCAUGAUCUCUCAAAACCGAUGUGCCCUGGAUCCAGCAGUUCCUCAUCCAGGGGUAGUCCCUGAAGAAACAUCUGCACAAGUGUGGCAGGAAUAAGCCUCAUGAUAUUCAUAGCAACACGGUUUACCCAGCAAAAGGCUAACACGGGCCAAACGCCCACAGAGACACACAGGGAUGAGCUGGAGCAUUGCUGCACGGUGUCGCACAGAGAGGGGAAGACAAAGCUGACUGACGGCUCAGGAAGGUGUGCACGUGUGUAGAAGCGUGAAAGGACAGCCUGGUUUCUGGUCGAGCACUGGUUGGAAAUUGCCAGAGACCCCGAAGGGUUCCCUGCCAGGGACAGCAGGUAUUACACCACGUUCCCAGACUCUAGGCUCAUGACACGAGAUCACAGACCUCCAUAAAUCUGUGCCGUUCAGUCACAUAGGAGCCCCUCCACAGGUAGAGGGCGUGACUACAGGCCACAGAGCCUCAAGACAGAUCUCCAUAUUAAUGAGAUACCUAAAGACCAGAGGGGCAUAACCAAUUAAACAUUCCUUCUCAGAUCUUCCUCCUUACAAAAGGUAUUUAACCUCUGGCCUGCCCUGAAAAUAUAGGGGUAGAGUUUUCAUCCAUUUUCCGCCAUGACAAUAGAUAUCUUAAGACCAUAGCCUAUUUCUCUUCCUUGGGACCUGCUAUGGGGAACAGUGGAGAAGGUUUUCAACUACCAAGCAACAGACCUCUCUACAUUCUCAGCCAUGGAAGCCAAGCAACACAAGCAAGCAAGCCGAGCCAGCCAUGACCCAGCCAAGCUAGUUGCUGUGACCACGACUCUCAUACCUGCAGCACACAGCUGGAACUCAUCCUUCCCCCUCUCCUCUUCGGUCUCAGCUCUUCUGCAGCACCCCAGCAGUACCUGAGAGCCCAAGGACCUGAGAAUCACUGUUCCCCAUCCGCCUUUUGGCACGGGGACCCCCAACCCAAGAGCUCUGGCUCCCUGCAGGACCUCAGACUGUGCUCUCCCACCCCAAGCAGAGUCCUGAGGCUUCAAACAGCACCAGUGGAGUGAGCACAGUCAAAUUCCCAUGCCUCUGUCCCCAUAAGAGGCCCUAGUAGCCAUAUGACAAGACAGAGGCGGUACUCACACAUCAACCCAACAAAACCUAUGCACACUACAACCCAACACUCGCGAGUAUGUGUGCCUGUGGUGUUAGACUCACUGGAACAGGACAUGGAUACCAGGAAACAGUCUCUUCUGUGGUGGGAUCCUGGGUUCAAACUUAGGUCCCGGCUUGUGUGGCAAGCCUCUUACCCACUAAGCCUUAUCACCAGCCCUGCCUCCAUUUAUACAAAGGCGGGGAAACCACCAACACAUGAAGAGAUACAGCAUCUGUUUUUUUUUUUUUUAAUGUCGUGAAUAGCAAUCACAAAACAUGAUUGUGUCUGGAGGGGAGAGAAGCAGAAGCUACUGGAGAUCUGAGAAGUCACCGACAUCCCUUCCCUUAAACUGGGUGGGACAGCCAUGUACGCUAAUUAUGUCACGCUUCUUUAUCGCUUACAUAUGUUUUGUAGGCACCAAUUUUGUGUAUCAGUUUCAUAUUUAAUAAAAACAGAACUUUAA